rnacentral:rRNA from 1 species
GUAACACGUGUGCAACCAACCCCGUACCGGGAGAUAACCCGCGGAAACGUGGACUAACACCCCAUAACACCUUUCCCCCGCAUGGGGGAGAGUUUAAAAUCACGAUGGUACGGGACGGGCACGCGCGACAUUAGGUAGUUGGCGGGGUAACGGCCCACCAAGCCGACGAUGUCUAGGGGUUCUGAGAGGAAGGUCCCCUACACUGGAACUGAGACACGGUCCAGACUCCUACGGGAGGCAGCAGUGAGGAAUAUUGGUCAAUGGGCGAGAGCCUGAACCAGCCAAGUCGCGUGAGGGAAGAAUGGUCUAUGGCCUGUAAACCUCUUUUGUCAAGGAAGAAUAAGCGGCACGAGUGCCACCUCGCCAGUACUUGACGAAUAAGCAUCGGCUAACUCCGUGCCAGCAGCCGCGGUAAUACGGGGGAUGCGAGCGUUAUCCGGAUUUAUUGGGUUUAAAGGGCGCGUAGGCGGGACGUCAAGUCAGCGGUAAAAGACUGCAGCUAAACUGUAGCACGCCGUUGAAACUGUCGACCUGGAGACGAGACGAGGGAGGCGGAACAAGUGAAGUAGCGGUGAAAUGCAUAGAUAUCACUUGGAACCCCGAUAGCGAAGGCAGCUUCCCAGGCUCGAUCUGACGCUGAUGCGCGAGAGCGUGGGUAGCGAACAGGAUUAGAUACCCUGGUAGUCCACGCCGUAAACGAUGCUCACUGGAUCUUGGCGAUACACGGCCAGGGUUCAAGCGAAAGUAUUAAGUGAGCCACCUGGGGAGUACGUCGGCAACGAUGAAACUCAAAGGAAUUGACGGGGGCCCGCACAAGCGGAGGAACAUGUGGUUUAAUUCGAUGAUACGCGAGGAACCUUACCCGGGUUUAAAUGCAGGUUGCAUGAGGUGGAAACACCUCUUUCCCUCGGGACUACCUGCAAGGUGCUGCAUGGUUGUCGUCAGCUCGUGCCGUGAGGUGUCGGGUUAAGUCCCAUAACGAGCGCAACCCCUAUCGCCAGUUGCCAUCGGUUCAAGCCGGGCACUCUGUCGAGACUGCCACCGUAAGGUGCGAGGAAGGCGGGGAUGACGUCAAAUCAGCACGGCCCUUACACCCGGGGCGACACACGUGUUACAAUGGCCGGUACAGAGGGCAGCCACGGGGCGACCCGGAGCGAAUCUCUAAAGCCGGUCGUAGUUCGGACUGGAGUCUGCAACCCGACUCCACGAAGUUGGAUUCGCUAGUAAUCGCGCAUCA